rnacentral:lncRNA from 1 species
ACUCCACUGGGGACAUAAGAGAGUCAAGCCACGUGUUGAUUACUUCUUGUCUUUUGUCGAAAGUUGAAAAUUCGAUUUAAAUUUACGAUCCUCUCAUCUUUUGUUUUGAGUUACAUUUUUAUCGUGUUCUGUAUUUUAUUUUAUACCUCUGCACAUUCCAUUGCAUGACCGUUGGUCACACCUUUUAAGUGGGAGUGAGAAACUACGCCUUCGUGAGGUUUUCACCUCCGCAUGGGAUAGUGAAUCGCUUCCGGGAUACAUCCGUACCUAUGUCUUCGUGAGAUUUUCAUCUCCGCAUGGCCAUAGGGAAAUGUAUUCCCCUGAACUGAACUCGGU